AUAUUUUAAACAGGAUUUCUUGGCAUUUGUAUGUUAUUGCAAUUACCUGGAAUUGAUCCCUAAAAGAUAACAAUGGUUGUUGAUAUAUACUAGGAAAAUGGUACAGUGGUCCCUAAACUAGAGUAAGAUAUCUAGGUUAACUGGCAUGAGACGGUCCCUAAACUAGAGUAAGAUAGCUAGGUUAACUGGCAUGAGACGGUCCCUAAACUAGAGUAAGAUAGCUAGGUUAACUGGCAUGAGACGGUCCCUAAACUAGAGUAAGAUAGCUAGGUUAACUGGCAUGAGACGGUCCCUAAACUAGAGUAAGAUAGCUAGGUUAACUGGCAUGAGACCUUAACUAUGACUGUGCCAUGAAUUAUUGCUCUAUUUUAGUCACCAUACAAGAAGUCUUUUCUGGCAGUGCUGCCUGUUUUUCAUCUUACAGAUGUUCGCGCGUACUAUUCCAUAACAUGCUGUUUCAUGUGGGAAUGAAGACAAAGAGAAUUUUGCUGUGUUUGACGGCUAAGUGACAAUGGCAAUUUGUGCUUGAUUAGGGAGUGUUUUUAAUCUAUCUUUAAUUUAAGUUUUAAUUUGAAUAAUAUUGCCGAUUUCAUACGUGAAAGGCACUAAAACUUAGAUGUAUGCUAUCAGUCCUUUCUAUUGAUUUUAUUGAAUUCAAAAUCACAGCAAUGUCAAGGACCAGCCCUGUAACAGGUAGAAGGCUUGAGCAGAAGACCCAACCCAGAAGGGUGGACCCAUCUGCCUCUAUCUGCCCAGUAGAGGAAUAGAUGGGGACAAGAAUGGAGGGGGCAAAGAGAAUCAAGAGGCAGGCAAAUACAUUCAGCAGACAUCAUGAAAUUCUUGAUUGCUCACAUGGUAGAGGUGGGAGAAAAAAAUGUAUACAGUAUGGUAUCGCCAUAUUUAUCGGCACAAUAUUAUAUCAAUAACAGCAGCGCAAUUAUGAUCUAAAUUUCAUUUUGGUACAUACAUCUACUCUGCUCACAUUGCUUCUGAAGUCCACAAAACCUUGUACUUCUGGGAAAGUCUGCAGAAAAAGAAAGUAUAAGGAACGCAAUAUAUGGGAGAAAUAAAUUGCAAUACAUCACAGAUAAUAAUCGUAAUAUUUGCUGAAUCGUAAAAGGUAAAGAAUCGCAAUAAUAUCGUAUUGUUGCCUCUGUGGCAAUUCCCAACUCAUCACAUGGUCAUGAAUAUGACCUACAAAUAAAAAAAAUUGAAUUAGCCUUGUGCUUCAUCGUUUUACUAUUUCUGAAUUCAGAAACAUCUCUUCAGCAUAUCACCACGUCACCAAAACUUGCAAAGAUUGGCACCCUGAGAAACGUUUGUACAGGUUGAGGACAGACUUUGAAGUCAUUGUCUGCUACCGAUUACACUCUUGAACUCUUGGCUCAUCAUCCUCACUGGAGUUCUGACUGGCUCUUCAGGGGCAGCACUUAAAUGUUUUGCACCCACUGUCACACUUGUGGACUGCUACCUGCCUCACAUGUUACCGCUACAGAAUGAACGUAUAUCACUGGAAGAUCACAGCAUGGGUUUUUUUUUUCAAUAGAAAUGUUUCCUGGCCAACAACACCAUAAUUCUAAAGGCAUGGUAGGGAUACAGCGCUUGUCAAUAUACUCAUACGUGUUCAUUUUCAAUAGGUUCAAUUUACUUGUAAUGAAACUGUGUGUACUGUCUGUGAAUUUCAUUCUCUACCUUUGUUCAGCUCAUACUCUCUCUCUCUCUCUCUCUGCCUUUCUCCUAAUAUGGAUUAGGUAGGGUGGGGAGCACUUGUUCUUGUGUUUUGGUGCUACGGAAGUUGGAAUCCAAUUAAAUCAAUUUUGUCUCUCUCUCUCCCUCACCCACACCUACUCUCUCUCUCUCUCUCUCUCUCUCUCUCUCUCUCUCCCUCUCUCUCUGUCUGUCUGUCACUCAGGCACAAAUAACAUUGUAGCUUGUCAGGAAAUGUCUGCCAGCUAUUUAGUACAUAGUGCAGGUAAGUAAGUAAGACUUUAUUUAUAUAGCACAUUUCAUACAAGAGUUGCAGUUCAAAGUGCUUUACAUAAAAUUAAUAAAAACAAGCAGCAGGAGCAAUGCAUGGAGUAAAGUAAUGAUCAACAUCGUACCAGAACCUGAUGUUCCGAUAGGCUUCUUGGAUUACUAUUAUCCUUCUGCCUGGUCUUUAGCUCAGUCGGAACCAUAGUGUUGCUUCAUAGAUUCCGUCUUUCCCUGUUAAAUAUUUUCCCUAGCUAUGUUUCCCGCGCCCAGAGGCCUACAGGGGACCGGAGAUAGCUCUCCUAAUUCGUCUCUCCAGAGACUUGACUAUACCUCGUAUAGCCCUUGAUACACACACACACACACACACCUCGUAUAGCCCUUGCUAGAUUUGCCGCGCCCAGAGGACUAGUACAUUCGUUAGUGAAAUAUCUGUGAGAAAAACAGGAGAUAUAUUGAAGCCACAAUAUGGUUUCCGACAGUGCUAUGGUACCCUUAAAACUGUUUUACAGAGAAAUAGUAAAAAUAGUGCAAGAUAAAAUUCAAGUUACAGAGAAAUAAAUAAUGCAAAUAAAAUGUAUUAAAUGCUUUGGUAAAAAGAUAAGUUUUAAGCUGCCUUUUGAAAGUGUCUAGCGUGUUUGCUUCCCUAAUAUUUAUGGGUAAUGUGUUCCAUAAUUUUGGGGCGUAGUUGACAAAGGCCGCAUCACCAAUCUUCUUAUGACUGCUUCUGGUGACCUCUAAUAGACCUGCAUCUGAUGACCGCAGUGUUCUAGCUGGUGUGUAGUUAGUGAGAGAGUUAACAAUGUAGCUAGGUCCUUGUCCAUUUAGAGCUUUGUAUGUGAGGACGAGGACCUUAAAAGGGCUUCACCUUGUUCACCUAUUAAGACUAGAUUAAUCUACUUUGCACCAAAUGCAAAUGCACACUCAUUCUACCUCUCUCUCUACGUGAAAUGUCCAAGUUGUGCAACACAAGAUGGUUUCAUACAUUUUCUAAGUCACAACCUAAAAAACACGAAGUCGAUAUGACUGAAGAGUGCUAAAGAGACUGCCUAUGUAGAAGCUUUAUCUUCCAAAGCCAGCCCCUCCAGGUGAGAUGCUGACUGAUUCAGGAAGGCGGAAUGUUCCAAUACUCCCUCUCACAUCAAGGGUCUAUUCCACUCACCCAGGGAAUAUUCCAGCACCCCAUACACUUGUACGUGGGUGUACCCCUGCUGUCAUCUAGUCGGGAAUCCCUAUAGGUAAGAUCCGUCCCUAAAGCCUGUGAUCUCAACUCAAGUGAUUUAGUCUGCAAGGCUAUUCACCUCAAGGAGGCCUGAAUCCUGAUAACCAUUUCUGUGAGGCAGUGAGUAGUGCUCAUGUUAAGCUCAUGUUGUGAGCAGUGAGUAGUGCUCAUGUUAAGCUCAUGUUGUGAGCAGUGAGUAGUGCUCAUGUAAAGCACAUGUUGUGUCCAUACAAAGAGACGGAACAGUCAUGGAGAAAUAUUAAGUAGAACGCAAACCAAGCUUCUUCACUUAGGCUCAGUUUCUAGGCAAUGAAGACAUGACGUAUUGUGUUGCAUACUUGUGUGUGCACGGUUGUCUGUGUAUAUGUGUGUGUGUGUGUGUGUGUGUGUGUGUGUGUGUGUGGCGAAAGGGAACGCUUGACUGUGAUGGCCAACAGUGUUAGAUAUUGCUCCAGUUGUUCUACACUGUGAGAGGGCAUUAUUUGGGUUAGUUGACAACUACACAAGCUCAAAUAUGCAGCGGCAGCUAAAAAUAGCAGCAUAAAGGUUUGAUGAUGAGGAGUGCUUCAGAGGUCUCUCCUCCUCUCAGUCUUUUAUCUUCACCUAUCCCUCUCCAAUUACAGUUUGCUCAUUGCCAGCCUGUCAAAUUAUUACUCAAGAUGAGUAGGUUGUGUUUGGCGACACACGCACACUCGUCCAUAUACACACACGCCAUCCAUGUGUACACUGACACAGUUGUGUUUGUGUGCUCUCCGCUCUGUUUCCAUCAGUCAGCAGAUUCAUUCUUUCUCAAUGGAAUUCUGGCCAUUCUGAGACCUGUCAAAAGGUCUCUGUGUGUGUGUGUGUGAGUGUGUGUGUGUGUGUCUGUGUGUGUAUUUGUGAGUGUCUCUCUGUGAACUUGUCUGCUUAUCUGUGCACAACCGUCUGAAGCUUUGUUAUUGUCCAUGACACUGCAAUUCAGCAGUGGUGACAGAGACCCAUGCUGAACAAAGGUCCGUUUUUUUCGUUGCCCCUGAAAGACAUAACCUAUACAUGCCCUGAUUUCGGAUGUCUGCACCUAGCACAACACUCUGUGGUAGCUUAAAACAUUCAGUACAGACAAAUCAGAAAACCAGUUCAACAAAUGUAACCUCCAAAGCUGAGACCGACUAGUGUGUGUUUGGGUGUGUGUGGAUAGAGAAGUGCUGAAAAAAUAUAUUCACGGGCUGGCAUUCCUUCUCGGAGUUUAAACAUCAGCUGAGUGCAGGCAAGACCUACAGCUUCUUAAAAUGGCUCAAAAUACUUGCAUUAGUCUGAGUGCUUCUGUGUUUGGGUACCCGCGCCCUUCAGGCAUAAAACGCUGUGUCAGUUCACAGGCAGAGAGGGAGUUAAGAUAAUCAAUGCAAUUUCGGGUUGCAAUUACACUAAAAUCGGACAAUGUCUUGUACACAUGAACACACCUUGACGCACACAGGCCCUUUUCGAUGUGUUCGCCCAUGUAUGUACGUGUAGUUUGUUUACAUUACCAGAGGUGCGAGGUGUCUCAACUUAGUGACCGAUAUUGUCUUCAGAGAGCUUCCAUCAAAUUUCAACCGUAGUUGAUACUUGGAAUUCAUAUGUGUUGUCUAUGUCUAAAGGCGAGUGCACAACAUGAUCGCAAAUGACUUCAUAGAAAGUGACGCUUAAUUCCUUGUUAAUCUACAGCCGCUAACGAAUGUAACGAUAUCAAAAUCCUAUAAUAAAUGUUCAACUACAAUGAUAUUUGACACUCACCCUCAGCAUAGAAGGACGACUGUUAGGUUAAUAUUCCAUUGCGAUAAAAUCCUGGGUAAAUGUGCUAGCCGGAUAAAUCCCUAGCAGUGGGUGGUGGCGCGCACCAGAGAUGCUGUCAAUUCAACAGCUACUCUUAGCUGCUUAAUCUGCUUUGAGCGCAACCCAAGUCGCUAUCUGUCCUACCUCCCUCCCCCUGCCGCCUCGCUGCCUUCACGCGCGCGCGCGCGAUGGGCUCAUUCGGCAGGCAGUAGGUAGUAUUGAUAAUGUAAAAUGAAAUUCAUAGUCUCUCAGUCAAAUCCUGACCGUUUGUUACCGUGUUAGUACGUGGUCUGUGUCAUGAAUAGAGGAUACAGGGAUGCUCUAUGUUUUUUUCACGAAACAAUAGUGGACCCAUCAAAAACUUCAGAGAUCAGCUCUAUCACAGGGUUGACAACGUGUGCUCUUGACAGCAAAUAGACUAUGCGUGUGUCCAUCCACACACGGAGUAUGAUAUAAUAUGAAAUAAGUAUGACAACAAGAUAAUUGAGAGAUUCAUGCAUUCAGUAUAAAACGACCCUCGUCUUGAUUUUAGCUGCAAGCACUGGUAGGCAUCCUUCAAUAAAUGUACAUAUUUCCUUUCUGCACAAUUUGGACAAAAAAAGAACUGGAAAACACAGAAUGAGACAGCACCUAGUCUUUUUACCUAUUGCUACUGGACACGGAAAACCAACCAAAGGCUGGCUACAAGAGCACAGGUUGAAACUGGGCAGGUGAAUACAAUAAAAUAAUCACAGUUCUCUUGUUCCCCCUGGUGGAUGCAUUGAGAUAGAUCAACUCCAUCACAAUUACCAACGUUUACGUUGUUACAGUGGAGACUACGCACGUCCUAUGCAUUCUUCAGGAAAGAUAACCGACACUUUGAUCUGCCAAAUACCUAGCAACAAGGAAGGUCUUGCCAGAAAGCCACACAUUGCUGGAAACACAAACACCUACUACCUCAAUUUGUGGUACAAAAUGCUGCAUUUUUACUUUAAUGAAAGUUAACAAUGAAUUGACCAAAGAUGCAACCCCCUUGAUACAUCAGGUUUCUGCCUGGACUUUAACAGUGAAUACCCCUUGCACCAUGGGUCCCUCUGGUUGAAAGAGCGUGGCUAAAGUGCCCUCCAGAGAGGUGAAAACCAGAGAUGGUGCCUUAUUGACUGCCCUCCACAGGGGAGACACAUUACCGAGUGCCCUCUAGAGUGUCCCUUCAUGCAAUAAAUGAUGAAGAUGUGCCUUCUAGAGCAAGAAGUGCUCAAGAUGUGGUGCAUGGCCCUGUAAGGUGCCCUUACAAUGAUCUAAACUUAACGAUCUCUAUGGGUGCCCUUCCAAUGGAAACGGUGCUGUUAUGGUGCCCUCUAUGCCGCUCCUACAUGACAGUGUCCCGAAGUGUGCCCUCUCCAGUAGUGAAUAGGUGUGUGCCGUGACCACAGUCUAGGGGUGCCGCCAAAUACAAUUAUAAGAAUAUACUUCUAAGACCCUGCUUACAUUAAAAAACGCACAGAACGGCCGCCAACAAAUCUUUUCUACGUUUUGGUAUGGGGCCAAUAAAUUAGCCUAGUGUCUCACUGGCAUUUUUAAUGUCAUCUCAGCUGUAGGGUACUGUACCCUUCAGGCAUGGACAUCGUUAGGCCAUCGUUUAUUUUUACUAAAAUAAUAAGAAAAUGCACGUUAGCUAUACACUAAUCUAGUAUUAACAGCAAGGCCAAUUUUAGAGAUCCAACCUUUAAAAAAAAAAAUGCAUGCACUUGUCCAUUUAUUGAGCAAGAACUAAACGUGUAUAAGUAUAUGUAAGUAAAUGUGAAGCACGUUAACGAUUCAUAUAAAUAAUGAGGGUAUGUAACAUUACCGUUGCACAUUCAGCAUUCCUACAACUACAUGAACAACAAGGUAAACAUCAACACUAAGAGCUGAUUUCAUUAAUCACUUGAAUGUUUUAUAUACAGUAAUCAUUGUCGGGAAUACGCUCCUGUAGUACAGACAACACAUCUGCGAUGUAGUCGCACAGGGCACUACCCCUGGCUGUCUCAAGGAUUCUGUCUCCCCCUGCAGGCUCAUCCAGGUCCUCCUCAUCCACGGGCAAGACAUCGUCAUUGCCCAGACAGACAUUGUGCAGCAUGGUGCAAACCACGAUGACAUCAUGUGAUGUCCACCUCCAGGCCAUGGAAAAAGAUGUCCCUCCAUCUGGUCUUCAUCAUGCCAAAUGCUCGUUCAAUGACUGAACGAGCCCUGGCAUGAUGGGUGUUAAACCUAUAGGUAAGUGUUGAUAAAUUAAUGAUUUUGUAAUUACCAUUUCUGUGACAUUUCAAUCGAAAUCACAUGUUUUGAAGUACCAACCUGUGUUAUGCCACUCCCCUGAGAGGAUUCUUGAAUGGUGUGAUGAGGGAAAUGGGCCUGUCCAGACAGGGAAACACUCCAUCACCCAACAAGAACAUGAGGGGGUGGAUAUGUGGCACAGCGGUAGAGGUGACUGGGUUUCAGGAACCUAGGAAACCAACAAAAACAUUGAUGAAGCGGCCAGCAUGAUCACACACUGCCUGAAGCUGAAUUGAUGCAAAUAGCUUCCUGUUCUUGUAACACUGGGCAGGGGGCUCUCCUGGGGCUUUGAUGCGGACAUGACAGCCAUCAAUGGCCCUAUAGAAAGCCCCAUUCUCCUCUGCAGUGGAAGGCUCCCUGAUGACUCUUGGCAUCACUUCCCCGACAUUCUCACAGGCACGAUGCACAUUGCACAAGGUCGUGCACCAUUGUCUUGGGCAUGUCAAAUGCCCGGCACACAAUGCGGUAGGAUGCCCCGCUGGCCAGCCAGAACAGGAACACAAGCAUCUCUAUGGCUGGACACCGACCAUGGUGCCACUCCUGGCUGAGAAGCUGCGGCCAACCCGUAUUGGAGGCUCUGCUGAGCGGAAGGUCAGGGUGAGUGUUAACCCUAACCCUAACCCCCUCAAAAUAGAGCCUGAGAACGGCCACUGCCCUGUUCAGUUCGGCAUGACACAAGUUGUGUGACUCUGAAAUAGAUUACAUGUAUACAAUGAUGUAGAAAAGAUGUUUAUCAAAAAUUUUAUUUAUUCAUUCAUUUAACAGGGACAGUGCACAUUCAUGAACAUUACCGUAAAUGUGCCUCAAUGUAAAUAUUUGUAAUUGUAUCUCCCAUUAAAUAUAAUUCUUAAAGAAGACCUAACUAUUUGAUUGUUAUGAAUUUACACCUACCCAAACUGACUUCUAGCAGAUGCCCAACUCCCAAGCUAUACAGGCUAUUGCUGUCAUACUGGUGAUAUGUACUGGUCAAUAUCCAGUCUACCUGUUGGCCUAUAUCCGAGUUAUUUUCAUACACGUCAGACUUCGUACAUAUCUGACACAUAUGGUGGUGAUUGUCAAUACCUUGUUAGACGGGAUGAUAACUAUUACAUGUAAAAAACGACUUGCUAGCUAGACACAGCAGUAUAUUUACCUCAAGAAGGUAGAGAUCGGCAGUAGGCUGCAGCAGCGGAGUAAACUUACCUCAAGACUCGCCAGAUAGCAAUACGCUGCCAACAUCAGCAUGCGUCAUCGGUGUGCUCUCCUUUGUCGUGGGCUGUCCUUUGUCUUCUUCCUCCCGUUCCAUCAGCUGUUGAAGAGCGACAGCUACUAAACGGUUUGUCCCCAUCCUGUUUGAUUUGAAGACUUUUUAUUUUAAGAGCGAAGUUUACACAACUGACAGCGACUACACUGGAAAAGACUAUACUGUCUGAGAGCGCCCGCCGGGAGAGAACUAACAAGUUUAGGCACACAGCGUCCUGACGUCACAUGUCACCGCAAAUGCUAUCCUAAAAGGUCGUCCGAAACCAACGGAUUUUAGAAGAUGCCUCAACUCCAAGAGUCAUGCCAGUUGAGAGACCUGUCUAUUACGGCAACAAGGCAGCAACCCUUCUGUUCCGAACGGACCCUCUAUUUCUCAGUUUAAAGUCGGUCCCCAGACAGCAGUCUUCAUAGGCCCAUCUAGACUUCAGUUUACCAAUCAAAAAAUGCUUUUAUGUUUUCUGAUAUUCAAACAUGAAAUGUCAUUUCUGCCCAUAAAAACCUCGUUAAAUAAUACAUAUU
ensembl:lncRNA